UGUUUUGUUUCUACCAGGCUUUAGAACUAGGGAAACUAAAGAUAAAAACCAAAAUAAGAGCUUUCUGAUGCAGCCUGUGGAAUAUGCAGCAGAGAGACCUCUCAUGAUGGUAUUUUCAUAGCUAAGAAGCGUAUAACACAUUUUGGGUAUCUAUUCUUCUGUUGAUUGACAUCAAAGCUGACUCUUGAAUUUAACUGCUGCAGAUGGUUUGACCAUGAGCAUAGAGAUACAGUUGUCUCUGUGGCACACCGCCUUAGAGUUCUUCAUGUAUAUAUUCACACACUAGUGAUGCAAGAGAGGGCAUUCAGAGUCUCAUGGGCCGUGGACAUGAGGAUACUAUGGCUGACCAGGAAGCGAACAGAUGGGGCCACAGUGGCAAGGACCCCAAUCACUACAGACCUGCAGGACUGCCUGACAAAUACUGAGCAUCCUCCUUACUGCCUCAGGAGGCUGUGCUGCGGGCUCUGGGGUCAGGACAUGGGGUUCUUCACUUUUGUGUCUACUGUGGGUGUGGAGGACAUACAGUGCACAAAUAAUAAAUUUGCUCAGGUUCCUGCUUUGCAGAAGAAACUGCCAGAUAUUCUACAGGACACAGAGAGAAGCAAC